GAAAGACGGAAGUCAGAGGCAGUGAGAAGUUCCCGCUUGGUCUUUCUGGUUUGUUCUGCUGCAUCGUCCUUAUCCGAUGUCAUCCAGCCCUGAGAACUCGGGGUUAUUACCGUGUGCGGUUGGCGUGAUCAAAGGGUGCAGAAUGGAUCUUGAAGGAGAGAGUCGAUGCUGGGCAUCCAAGGGAGCCCCGAUGUCGCGUAGACAUCGAGAGCCUUGGGUCUCCUGACCUGGUUUACUGUUGGCAAAAAGCAGACUUGGUAUGGACCAGGAUGAAUCCAGGAGUGGGAAAGGAUUGGAAAGUGAUGUACACAUUUUUCUAAGUGCCCAUGCCCACGUGGCUGAACAGACGUAAAAUCUGGAGAAUGGAGGAGGUCCAGAGCCCAGUGUGUCACUGGGCAGACAGUUGAUUGCAUCCUGAUCUUCCCCUUCGGCUCAGUCUGUGCUGUAACAGGAGUUUCUCACGGGUGGAGUUGGAAUACAAGGCCUCUUGGAAAAGAUCGACCCUGUGUUUUCCUGAGAAAGCAUAAUGGAAUUUUGUAGGCUUCCUAUCUGGAGAAGGAAAAUAAAAAAUUCUUGAAAUCAAA